CGGGACGGGUGAGUAAUGUCUGGGAAACUGCCUGAUGGAGGGGGGUAACUACUGGAAACGGUAGCUAAUACCGCAUAACGUCGCAAGACCAAAGAGGGGACCUUCGGGCCUCUUGCCAUCGGAUGUGCCCAGAUGGGAUUAGCUAGUAGGUGGGGUAACGGCUCACCUAGGCGACGAUCCCUAGCUGGUCUGAGAGGAUGACCAGCCACACUGGAACUGAGACACGGUCCAG
rnacentral:rRNA from 1 species